CAGCAGACACAUUCCAGCCAAUCAGCAGCAGACCCUCCCAGACCCUCCCACCUCCUGGACAGCAUCCAUUUUACAUUCAUUGUGAAGCUGCAUUCUUAGUGAGCUGUCCAGGAGGUGGGAGGGUCUGGGAGGGAGGGUCUGCUGCUGAUUGGCUGGAAUGUGUCUGCU